rnacentral:rRNA from 1 species
UGAGGAAUAUUGCACAAUGGGGGAAACCCUGAUGCAGCAACGCCGCGUGGAGGAUGACGCAUUUUCGGUGUGUAAACUCCUUUUAUGAGUCAAGAAAAUGACGGUAGCUCAUGAAUAAGCACCGGCUAACUCCGUGCCAGCAGCCGCGGUAAUACGGAGGGUGCAAGCGUUACUCGGGAAUCACUGGGCGUAAAGGACACGUAGGCGGGUUGGUAAGUCAGAUGUGAAAUCCUACAGCUUAACUGUAGAACUGCAUUUGAAACUACUGACCUAGAGUAUGGGAGGGGGAGAUGGAAUUAGUGGUGUAGGGGUAAAAUCCGUAGAUAUCACUAGGAAUACCCAAAGCGAAGGCGAUCUCCUGGAACAUUACUGACGCUAAGGUGUGAAAGCGUGGGGAGCAAACG